rnacentral:rRNA from 1 species
AACGAACGCUGGCGGCAUGCCUUACACAUGCGAGUCGAACGGUAACAGGUCUUCGGAUGCUGACGAGUGGCGAACGGGUGAGUAAUACAUCGGAACGUGCCUAGUAGUGGGGGAUAACUACUCGAAAGAGUGGCUAAUACCGCAUGAGAUCUACGGAUGAAAGCAGGGGAUCGCAAGACCUUGUGCUACUAGAGCGGCCGAUGGCAGAUUAGGUAGUCGGUGGGAUAAAAGCUUACCAAGCCGACGAUCUGUAGCUGGUCUGAGAGGACGAUCGUCCACACUGGGACUGAGACACGGGCCAGACUCCUACGGGAGGCAGCAGUGGGGAAUUUUGGACAAUGGGCGCAAGCCUGAUCCAGCAAUGCCGCGUGCAGGAUGAAGGCCUUCGGGUUGUAAACUGCUUUUGUACGGAACGAAAAGCCCUGGGUUAAUACCCUGGGGUCAUGACGGUACCGUAAGAAUAAGCACCGGCUAACUACGUGCCAGCAGCCGCGGUAAGAC